rnacentral:rRNA from 1 species
UACGGAGGAUCCGAGCGUUAUCCGGAUUUAUUGGGUUUAAAGGGUGCGCAGGCGGAAGAUUAAGUCGGCGGUGAAAUUUUGCAGCUCAACUGUAAAAGUGCCAUCGAUACUGGUUUUCUUGAGUGUGGAUGAAGUAGGCGGAAUUUGUGGUGUAGCGGUGAAAUGCAUAGAUAUCACGAGGAACUCCGAUUGCGCAGGCAGCUUACUAGGCCAUAACUGACGCUCAGGCACGAAGGCGUGGGGAUCAAACAGGAUUAGAUA